rnacentral:rRNA from 1 species
UACGUAGGGGGCAAGCGUUUGUUCGGAAUUACUGGGCGUAAAGCGCGUGUAGGCGGUCUGGCAAGUCAGAUGUGAAAGCCCCGGGCUCAACUUGGGAACUGCAUUUGAUACUGCCAAGCUAGAGUACAGAAGAGGUGACUGGAAUUCCCAGUGUAGCGGUGAAAUGCGUAGAUAUUGGGAGGAACACCAGAUGCGAAGGCGGGUCACUGGGCUGAUACUGACGCUAAAGCGCGAAAGCCAGGGGAGCGAACGGG